AAACCAGCACCUCAAGUGGUCAGGAUGAUUAUUGGGCCUAAAGCAUCCGUAGCCUGCUCUGUAAGUUUUCGGUUAAAUCUGUAUGCUCAACAUACAGGCUGCCGGGAAUACUGCAGAGCUAGGGAGUGUGAGAGGUAGACGGUACUCGGGAGGAAGUGGUAAAAUGCUUUGAUCUCUCGAUGACCACCUGUGGCGAAGGCGGUCUACCAGAACACGUCCGACGGUGAGGGAUGAAAGCUGGGGGAGCAAACCGGAUUAGAAACCCGAGUAGUCC
rnacentral:rRNA from 1 species